UGCCCGGUAGUGUAAUUGGCAACACCCGAGAAUUUGGAUCUCGUUUUCCAGGUUCGAGUCCUGGCCGGGCAGCCA
rnacentral:tRNA from 1 species